rnacentral:tRNA from 1 species
GCCUGGGUGGCUCAGCGGUUGAGCAUCUGCCUUUGGCUCAGGUCAUGAUCCCAGGGUCCUGGGAUCAAGUCCCACAUCAGGCU